AAUGAACGCUGGCGGCGCGCCUAAUACAUGCAAGUCGAGCGAGAAGACGUAGCAAUACGUUUGUAAAGCGGCGAACGGGUGAGGAAUACAUGGGUAACCUACCCUCGAGUGGGGAAUAACUAGCCGAAAGGUUAGCUAAUACCGCGUACGCUUCUUGGACUUCGGUUCAGGGAGGAAAGCGAUACCGUGGGUAUCGCGCUCUUGGAUGGGCUCAUGUCCUAUCAGCUUGUUGGGAGGUAACGGCUCACCAAGGCUUUGACGGGUAGCUGGUCUGAGAGGACGAUCAGCCACACUGGCACUGCGACACGGGCCAGACUCCUACGGGNGGCAGCAGUAAGGAAUAUUGCGCAAUGGGCGAAAGCCUGACGCAGCGACGCCGCGUGGGGGA
rnacentral:rRNA from 1 species